rnacentral:lncRNA from 1 species
GGAUACUGUUGGACUAACAUGUUUGUAGUGCCUCCUUGGACCUGGUGGGUCGAGCUCUUCCCUUGGGUAGCCGUACUCACUGGAAACUAUGGACAAUAGUUCUCACCCCGUGUUGUUUUUGGGGGUACAGGUUCACAUGUGAGCGGCGCGGUGGCGCGAGGAGAGGGCGUAGCUCUGUAGAUAGCGCCUUACCACCGAGACUAGAGAUAGCGGUACCCCGAAGUGGUCUAAUUAGGGGUUGUAGAAAAAGAAAGAAAACAAUGUUGUAAUAAAUUGUAAUCAAUGAUUGUAUUUGGAAGUCGAUUGUAAAAGAAAAUGUGAUGUAAAAUACAAGUGAGCAGAAUGCUUGUAAUAACUUAGUUGUUAUGUUUUUGAUACUUCCUUAUACAAUUUAUGAUUGAAUAUUGUUCCUAGUUGGAACCUCUUGUAUUGUAUUGAUUGCGACGCCAAGGACGUAUAGGGGAGACUCUGUCAGUUCGGCGGUCUGUCGGCGUGCCC